rnacentral:lncRNA from 1 species
GUCUGCUUUGGGCAGGGCUAGUGUAACCUCAGUGACAGGUUGAAUUUAACACCUCACUACCUCCUCCACCAGCCAGGCCACUGCUAUCCAGGACUCCACUGCCUGGGAUCAGCCUUCUCUACACACAUGGAGCCCCUGGGGAUAGGUCUCACCUUGCUGGCAGGCCCAGUUCCCAUGGGUAGAAACAAGAAACGGGGAGCUCAGCCCAAUGGCAUCCCGGCGCAGACUUCACAUUCCCCGGUGGCCCUCAAGACC